rnacentral:rRNA from 1 species
UACCAGCACCCCGAGUGGUCGGGACGAUUAUUGGGCCUAAAGCAUCCGUAGCCGGUUUUACAAGUCCUCCGUUAAAUCCAGCUGCUUAACAGAUGGGCUGCGGAGGAUACUAUAAGACUAGGAGGCAGGAGAGGCAAGCGGUACUCAGUGGGUAGGGGUAAAAUCCGUUGAUCCAUUGAAGACCACCAGUGGCGAAGGCGGCUUGCCAGAAUGCGCUCGACGGUGAGGGAUGAAAGCUGAGGGAGCAAACCGG